UAAGGGCUGACCACCACUAAGGCAGCAUCUCUUUUGGAGAUGGCUCCUUCGUGGUGUUUGUGUGACGAGCUUCAACAUUUUCCAUCUAGACCGAAGGCCUCUGAAUUGGUGAGUUUUUUUCUAUAAUCUCUGGCUAUCUUUUUCCACCAUUCUUGUACUAUUUCCAGCUGUACAUUACUAUUGUUGCAUUAUUCCACUGUACAUUUGCAAAUAUCCUAUUAGGUUAAUAUGUGCCAAAGAACAACUGCUCUGACUGUAGAAGACCUUUGUGUAUCUGUCCACAAAAACCUGUAGGUGCUCUGUAGGAGUGGAAUUGUUUGGGUUAUAACAACCAGCUGUCUUCAUGGUAUUUUAAGCUAAGGCAAUGUAUACAUGGAGGUGAAGGAUGUAUACUUUGAAAUGGUUUGGCUGCCUUAAGCCCUGAAGUGAUGCAGCAUGCCUGGCACCCAGCUGCACAGCUGCUGUCUGCCCACCUCCUGUGCCAACAGCCAAGUCCCCACACAGGGCCAUGGGGCUGAGCAGGAUAGGUAGCAGGGGACAGGGCAUGACAGCAGUUGGGCUCAUUUCAGCGCUCCUUAAACUGAAGAAACCAUCACUUGAAGUAAAUUCCAGAAACUGGGUGCAUCUGGUCCUGGGAAGCUUCCAGGAUGCUUACUGGCAGAAAAGAAGAAAAAGACUGUUUUUCCUCAAAACAGUCGAGAGAAGUGGGAGUCUGGGAGAAAAAUAAAGACCAGCUUGAAUUCCAGAGGGCCCCUGACUUUUAGAAAUAGUGUAGGUUGUAUCUGAUUUUUUUUAUUUUUUUUUUCCUGUUAUACAAGAGAAACCAAUUUAAUUCCACUUGUAGUGAAGCAUAAGAUUAGAUGGGACUAAAUAUGUGUGUAGGUUGUUUAUUAGCAAAUGGAAGAGAGCAGUGAAGGAAAACAAACAAGCUUGUUUCAGGGAGGUUUGUUGCCGUACUACUGGUCACGGGAGCCUUGGGGGACAGCAGGCACAUUUCUAAUUGGACUUGGGCAGCCACAUUCAGAUGGGACAGAUCCUUGGUCCAGAAUAGGAGAACUGCAAAACUCCAUUCUAUUGAAAAACUUGCUGUUCUGCCUAGUGAUAGCAACCCCUGAGCUGUUUGUGAGUAUUGGUCCUUUUGAGAGUGGGUAACUCGAUAGUUAGUGGGUCUUGUACACCCAAAGCACCAGGAGGCAGCUCCAUGAUCACCCACCUGGAUAUAAAGGCAGUCUGUGUUAAUCCUGAGUGGUCCAUGCAGCUGGAAAGGCUUUUGCAUCAUCUAAUUUGAGCCUCUUAUGCUGCAACUGAAACCCCUUAAGCCUUGUGCUAUCCACAGAAAGCAAAGAGAAUGGUUUAUUUCUCUUCCUGCUGUUCAAAUUCUCAGAGCCAGUUUCAUCCUUUCUUCUGGAGUAAAUAACCCCAAUUCCUUCAUCAUGGUUUGUGUUUUCCAGAUCUUGUAUGACUCCUCUGGUUUCUGCCUCCUUGAUUAUCAACUUUCUGGAGGAACAGAGCUCAAAGCUGGAAGCAGCACUGAUGGGAAGGCCUUUCUUGGCCAAAGCAGACUCUCUUCAUUUGGUUUACCAAUUGUGUUCAUACAUUCCAGUAUGGUUUUGAUUUAUUUUUCCACCAGAAGGUAACUAUUUUCUAAAGCCUAUAUAUGUGAUCUUCUAUAAGCUCUUCUGCUUCCAGCAAACCCACUGUCUACCCAGCCAUCUCCAUUUAGUCUUUAAGAAUUUGUUUGUUUCUUCCUAAGUAUACCACUUUGUACUUGUCUUUAUUGAAGUGCCUCCUGUUAUUUUCAAACUAUUUCUUCAUCUUAUCAAGACCAUUUUGAAUUCUAAUCUUAUCAAGUGUGCCUGCAGUCUCUCCUAGAUUAAUGCCACCUGCAAAUUUAAUAAGUGUGUUCUCAUUCCAUCAUCUAAGUCAUUAAUGAAAACAUUGAAUAACAUCUGCUACAAGAAAGAUCACUGCAAAAUCUCAGCUGAUGAAUCGCUUCAACCUGACAAUUAACUGAGCAUCUUCAAGCUAUCUUUAUACCCAGUCUAUAGAAACUCCCUUUGGGCCAUUCUUCUCUAACUUGUUUAUGAGUGUGUCAUAUAAGACCAGUGUCAUAAACCUUGCUGAAGACACAUGACACUGACUGCUCCUGCCACGUCCACAAAGCAUAUUACCCUGUCAAGGAGGGAAUUGGGUUGUGUUGAUGUGAUUUAUUCUUGACAUAUUCCUAUUAACUUCAACUUUUCUCAGCUUUAUCAUUGAGUAGCUUAAAAAAAUUUUUAAUUGAUUAUUUCAUGAUUUUUUUUCAUAGAAAUUGAAGUUCAGCUCAUAGCUCGAUAAUUCUCUAAAAGGUAACAAUUUAUUUGAAUUAAAGGCUUUUUCUGCCUGGGGGCCAUUUUGCAAAAGCUACACAUGGUGGCUGUUAUCUCUGGGGAGUAGCUUCGUGUCAAUGUAUCCUUUGUGCUUUUGAAGAAAUCUUUUAACCAUCUGCAUGGAAGACUAGGAAAACCAGUGAGGCUGCUGUUUCCACGCUGUCUUUCUACUCAUCUUCAUGGUAUACCAGACAGGAGGACAUCUAUCCUCAACUGAAGAACUAAUUAAUGCCUGUAGCUGCCAGAGGAACAUGGGAGUUCUGCUGGAAAGCCUGCUGGGUUCCUCUCCUACCAUGCUGGGCUACCAAUAUGAAUGCUGCAACUCUGCAGGCUGGCCAGCUGCGCUGGGCUCAGCAAGACUCCAUGGAGCUGGUUGAAGAGAAACCUGAUCCUAGUCAGCUUCUGCUGAAGAGAGCUCUGUCGCUGAGAAUUAGCAAUAGACUAUGCCAUUCACGUCUUUCAGAGGGACAAUGGGAGAGGAAUCAAAGGCACUGCGAUAUUGCAAGUAUUAUGAUGCUAAUUUUUCAUAUAAAGGAUCAGAAGCUACAGGCCUUGUCUAAGGGGCUCUCUCUGCUCUCUCACCCCACUCUCUGAUUCAUUUUAAAUAGCAGAACUUGUGUGGGAGCACUGGGGAGCCACACUCUGCCCGUUCUGUCAGGGGACUUCCCUAUCCCUGUCCAUUUCCUGCCUUCACAUGCUUCCUUUAUCAGCCGCUCAGGUGACAUCUCUGCUCUUGCUAUUUCCUGGUCCUGUGGUUGGAGCAUCAGCACCUGGACCAGCCUCUCCUGGGGACACCAAGCCAGGAACACCACGCCAUCACUUUCUUUGCCUAUCUGUCACCCACAUGUCCCUAAAGCUAAUGUGGGAUGGGAACAGAGGAGCAGUGAGGAAUGGAUGACACAAAAGAGGAGAAAAUAACUCCUAGAACGUUGCAGCUGUGCAAGCAGCACCCACCCUGAUUUGUCUGAGCAAGGCUUCAGCGAUGCAAGGGGAGGCUCCUAGCCGCUGGCAAAUUGUAUUACAGGGGAAGAAAGCCUCCAGCCUCCCUUGUUUGAUGCCAGUUUGUUCAUGGAGCAGCAUUAGACCUGCUGCUUUGUUGGCUGGCAGGGAGGAGGCUCAGGCAGCCUCUCCAGUGGGGUGGUGGAGGCCUCAUCAUGGCCCUGCCUCACAGGUCAGGGGUCACCCAUGGCCUCCUGACAACCCCAGUUCCACAUCUGCUGUGUGGUGAUGUCAACGCAGCCCCUGCGUGCCCUACAUUUGUAAUUAGCCUCCCUGGGGGAUGGGGAGUGGCGCAGCUGAAAGAGGAAGAAGAUACAUUAUGGGCAGUGCAAGGGUGGGGGCUUCUCUCCUUUGCUGACCACAUCAGCUUCCCCCAGCAUCUGGCACUUACAUCUUCAUUUUGAUUUUCGCUUGCUAGCUGAGCUAUAGAGAUCAUUUGUCUCCUGACACUUCUCAUUCUGUCUUUGUGUUAUGAGAGGGUAAGAAAUGGAAUGCUUAAUCAGGUGAUUCGUGGGUCACUGGCAUUUCUGCAGAGGUAAGUGUGAACAAGGUGAGUGUUUGUGAUGAGCAGGCAGCUGCUGUGAGCUGAGGGUGCAGAGGGCUGCAGCAGCCCCUGUUACUCUGUGCUGGAGAAGACCUUCCACCUCCCACAUCCCAGAAAACACAGGAGCUGGGCAAGAAGGGUUAAAACCAAGCCAAAAAUAGUAACUACAGAAGUGCUUACAAAUGAAAAUAAAUGAGGGUAUUCUGUAGUUUAAAAAAUGAAUACGAGCACCGAGAAGUAAGAUGUAGAAAGGCAUGCAUUAUGGAAAUAAACAGAGUGAGUCAGGGUUAAAAAUAGGUAAAUAUUGAGAGCACGCGAUAUUUAACAUGUACAAAUUGUAAGAACAGGAAGGGAUCCAGACUUAAGCAAUGAAACAAGAGCAUGUUAAGGAACAACAGCUCUCCCUCCUGCUGAUUAAGUUUUAGCAAGAGGGUGUGGAUUGGACACUGAAUGGCUGGGAAACACAGAUGCAAUGAUGGAUUGGGCAUAUUUGGAGUUGAACUUAAUUGAUACUUGAAUUAAUAGACUGCAUCCAACCUCUAGGUCAGACCCUAAUGCUUUUGUUUUCCAUCUUCCUCCCCUCAAAGAGCAGUUGCACAAGUCAGAGUAAGGGUGGUAGUUCACAAGGCAGGCUCUGUACUAUGUUCUCCCGUCCUGCAUCGCUUCGCACAGUGCUCUCCAGCUCCUUUGCUCUGUGAGCUGCUCAGAGCUCUGCCACUCAUCUGUGCAGAUUCCGAGCAGCCACCAGAAUGCAAAUCAUGGGAAUAGCUGGUUGGAGAUGGUGAUCUUGUCCUCUACGAGAGUUAACAUAUCCUCUUGGAUUCAGGGGAUGUAAUUACAGAGCUACAUACAGCAAGGAGGGCUGAUGGUUCAUGUUGGAAAUGGGGCAAACUGUAGUAACAGUACUGAAUUCAAGAAAAUUGCUCUGUUUUUUUGAUUUAUGAUAGUGAGAGCAGCAUUCUUAGUUUGCUACUUGCUUCAGGGAUCCUGAGACUCUUAUCAUAUUAUGUAGUGCCUUUGAGGAAUUACAGAAGUUUUCCAAUAUAUUAAAGAUUAUUCUCUUUCUUUAAAUAGAAUUGAAAAAUAAAUAAAAUCCUGCUGCACCUGCUCACACCAGAAACAGGGGACAUGCUGAGAUGGUCUCUGCUGCUAUUUACAUGCACUGAUCCUGACUGAGGGGAACGCAAACGGCACCUGGCAGAAGAGGCUGUGAUACAUCCACCUCUCCUCAUUACUGAUCCUGUGGACAAAAGGAUGCUGCCAUUAACCUCUACAGCCUCCACCUCAGGGACUGCAUUCAGGGAAGAGAUUUGUUGUGGAAGGACCAGCUCUCCUGGGGCCUCGAGCAUGAAGGAUGUUGUGGUGUCUGGAAACUGGCACACCAGGGCCCUGACCUCAUAGUGGUGAGAGCAUCUUUGGUAAGUCAGUCUUAUUUUCUUGGCUUCCUAUUGCAUAUUGCAUUUGAAACUUCUGAAUCAUGUCACUAGCUGGCCAGUUCUUCUCCCUGACACUUCCUUGUUCUUUUUUAAAAAACAAUCUUUGAUUAUUUCAUUUUUCUCAGGAAGAGGUCCUCCCUUGGCAGCUGUUACUACUGUGAGAUCUACUGAGUAACAAUCUUUUGGCUAAAGAACUGAUCAGAUCUAGAUAACUGAUUUUAUUGCUGCUGGCCUGCAUACAAAAUGUUUGCCACACCCUCGCCCUUUUGAAUGAGUACAGCUAGAAGUGCAUAGGAUUUGUUUCAGCAACUGCACGCGAAUCCAAAUUGUAUUUGGAGAAAGCUGAUUUCAGCCCUUUUUCCCUUGUUAUGUCAUUACCUCUAAUCCUGAUCUGUAAUUUGUGCAGGGCGUCAUUUCAGGCAUCUCUUCAAUAACUGUGGUCAUUUCCUGUUAAUGUAUUUGUUCCAUGCACCAUAAAGCCAAAGUCUGCUAUUAGACACAGAUCACCAAGCUGAGUGGGUCAAAAGCCUGUAAAGAAGCACAGCAUAUCUAAAGGGCUGCAGACGAUAACAAGCACAUCCAAAUCCCAAGGCAGAUAACAAACAUGUCAGUUGAAAACAGGAGCAUUUUGACCCCUCUUUGGCUUGAGAAACAUGACCAAAGGCAGAAAGGCAUUUGUACCACAGGAUGCAGCUCACCCCUGCACCAAGAGAUCUCUCCAGCUUUCUGGCUUUAGGACAGCUAAUGUCACUCAGAGCCAGGAGGGGUGAAAGCAAAACUCUGUAUUGCCUCUCAUUUAGUUGGCUCUGUGAGUCUCUCAAAGCCUGUUUCAAGGGGUGUGCUGGGAUCUCUUACUCAUCACUGCAGCCCUGGGACAUUGCUGGACUUUGUUGCAGAAGGCUUUUAGACCCAUUGACUGCAUCCCCCAGCUUAGCAUGUAGUCCUUUUAUACUGUUCUUUUAUUACUUUACUGCUGUUCUUGUCUCUCCAGGGAACAGUGCUUCUUUGAUAUGAAAUUGAUAGCAGUGACAGCUAUGAUUAUCAUCCUCUCUUCUUUUGAUAAUUUAUAUUACUUCAGUGUUUAUUCACCUGUCAUGGCUUACUGAUAGAGAAUUCACCUCCAUGUUGUGUCUGCCUUCAGUCCUUCUCCACGAUCAUCACAAUCUGUCUCAAGCCAGGUUUGAAAUGCAGAGCGUUAGUUGAAAUAGGAUUUUUGAAUACUCCUUUAAAAUCACUGUUGUUGUAUUAUUACAGAGUAAAUAAGAAGGAAAAAAAAAGCACACCUAAGCCCAGAGCUACUGCAAGUCCUCCAGUAGGUGGAAUCUUGAAAGCUAAGCAAUGAAAAUAACUAACAAAGGUGCUGAAGGCAAAAGUCGGGUUUACUUUGCCUAGCUUAGCCCUACGAUGCAAAUGGCUCAAAUUGGAUAUUCUUCUGGAGUUAAGCACAUGUUGCAGCUGGAGGAACCUCUGUAUGCCCUGCAGAGCACAGCCCAGUAUGGUGAGUGGGGUGGGGCUGCCGCAGACAAGACUGCUCUGUGAUCCUGUUCCUCUAUUUUUGUCUCUUCACAAAAAUGCACCACAAAUUAAAUUAAAACAAAACAAACUGCUGAGAAGGGCAAAGAGAAAAAUGCCUUGGCAACAAGGACUGAGGAGAGACUUGAGAAGGAGAAGAGGAAGCCAGACCUGUGAAAUCUGAGUCGUGCAUCUUGGAGUGAUUUCGAGGGGUGAGGGGAGAGACUUGUUGGAAGAUUGUAAACACUUUGCAACAGUAGCCGUGAGGGAGGGAAUUAAUUACACCCACGUUAUACAAUGAAACAACAGAAAGAGCAGGUGCUUGGUAAGGAAAAUUACAGGCAAUCUUUGCUCUAAGAGUAGCUGAGACCUGGAGGCCAUUGCAGAAGAAGAUGCCAAGACUAACACUCUCCUUCUUGCAUCCCUCCUUCCCUGCUGCUCUGUGCUUGCAGCGGGCUGCUGCAGGGUAAGUCCUGUUGCUGCAGGAUGACAAACUGCAGAGUGGCUUUUCAAGGAAAUGGAUGGGAAAGGCAAACAAAGCAAGAAACCAUCCUCUGAGGGGGCAUCCAUUUUGCAGCUGUUUGCUGCCAGACGUAGACUCCCCAGCGGCAGGACAGCAUGAAGGGAUUUGUUUGUCCCACCUGGCUGAAACAGGGCCAUGGUGCUGCAGGCAGCUCUGCUUGCAUCGGUGACUCCAGCACUGCCUCGGAGCCGUCAGCAUGGGGACAGCCUUGCUGUAAUUGCAUCCUGCACCACAGGGAAGGCUGCUUCCCUUGCAGUAAAGCUGCGUGUAACUGAGCGCGGACAGCAUAAGGAGAUUAUCUGCCAACAGAGUUAACAGACCUCUCACACAGGCUCAGCAGGUGAGUUUAUCUGUCUGUGCUUACACCAUUCAGACAGCACAGUGGUGCUCCACAGGACAUGUCCUGGCACUCUGCCUGGAGAAGCCCAGCCUGGGCAUCAGACAUUGACACUGCCACACAGGGAAUUACUUUGGUAUGAGAUGCUUCUCUGAGUGGCAGCCUGAGCUAUUUUUCUGUUCUCUCUGUGAAAUGAACAUGCCACAGCAUCUGGGAUGCAAAUAAAUCCUACCUUCCUCUAAUUAACACUUCACACAAGACUCCAGAGCAUUUUUGGGCUGUGAAACAAAUACCCAAAGCUGACUUGCUACAACAGUUUGGAGACAGGACUCUUUCCAGAACAUCAGCCUGAGCCAUGUUGCAAGGCAGACGUGGAUAUUGCAGCAAAUCUGUCUUAUUAUGAAGCAUUUGUGUCCUCCCGAGUGCAUCCACUUUCUUUUACUGUAGAAAAAUCAUAACACUCUAAUAAUGCUUUGGUAUCCUCUGCAAAGCAGUGUGUCUGCACAUAAGGUGAGGCAAGCUCAUUGCCCCCAGCCAGGUUUAAUUAGUGCUUAUUGCACAUAUACCUAAGGCACUGUUGAAUUAAUCUGAGAAAAAUGGAUGAUGCUGUGAGGUAGUUGUGACUGGAAUUAGUCACCGAUGCUUUUACUUACUUUUAAACAAAUGUUUCCAUGUUUUAGCAUGAAUAUUAACACUUUGGGUUUGAUUUCAUUUGCAGGAGAAAAAAGUCACUUUGUUCUUUAGUGAGCAACAAAUUAACACAUUGCUUGAAGUGAAUCACCUUCUUCUACACCUUUGACACAGGAAAAAUUCUACAUAUCAGAUGUCCCCUGUGUUUUUACCCACUGAACCAGGUACCUCUGCCCUUGAAGGUGCAGGAGCUUCUUCAUGCAGCUGAGAUUUCUGUCCACUCACAGCAGAGCAGAGGCACACCUGAGCCCUGUGUGCCCCUGAAUGGAAGCAGAGGGCCACCCUCAGUAGCUACAAACACUUGGGAAACUUCAAAGAAAAGGUUUGUGUUGUCUAAUGAGUCCCAAGUGAUUUUAAUUGCCAGUUUUGAGACGUUGCUGUCUCAGAGAUACAUCCUAUUACACACAGGUAAGGCAAAGAUAUUUCUUAUGUAUUUCCUUGCUCUUCCUUCAUCAUUUUUAAAUGACAAGCAGUGAGCCUGUGCUCAGGCUGGAUCUAAUGAGACUGAUCUUUGACUCAUCUGGCAUCUGCUGAAGGCUCCUUCUCACCACUAGCUCUAGGUGAGAGAGGUAAUGAAGCAUUUACCAAACCACUCCUUAAAGCUGCACUGAUUUCCACUAGAUGGUCCUAUUCAUACUUCUGAUGCUAUGUACAUGCUUUUUCUCCUUGGAAUUAGGGUCUGGCCUGAAGCCACAUGACAAUAAGAGAUGGAAAAUAUUCCAAGAAUAGAUAGCUUACUAUCUCCCCUUUGUCAAACAGUGCCACAUGGGAAACAGACAAGUUGAAAGUAGCAGCAAAUUAUGUAAAAUGCUUGAACAAGAAUUACAAGAUGUGCCAGAUAAUGAUAUAUUUUUUGUUUGCAGGCUUAUUCAGCUCUGCAACAUUAAAAUGAGACUUCAGUGGUGCUUUAUCCCCUAGGAUGGAGUUUUCUCAGCUUGUUAAAGAGCCCAGCUCCAUGGUACUCCUCUACAGGAGCCACCACCAUUCUCGCCUGAUCAAACCCCACAGUCCAGAGCAGAGCCAAAGAGACUGGGGACUAUUUUGUUUGGACCAAAGAACAUGCAAUGUAUUAUCUGAUUAUUAUUAUUAUGUCAUGUGUUAGAGGUCUGACAGCCAGAUCUAAUGUUAUCUGCAUGAAGCACAGAUUUCUGUCCCAGUAUGAAUUUUAUUCCCUGAGGGAUUUUGAAGUUGGCUCUAUUGAUACAACAUAUAGGAACAUUCUUGGGACAGGUGUGAUUACAAUUGAAGGGACAAUGCUGAUGUUCUUUAUGCCUGUGUGAUGGUCAGGAAGCAGGACACUAUAUUCCUGUGCUGUGAUUCAGGAAGGCAGGAAGCAUCUCCCAUCGUUCUUCAUAUCUCCGUUUUUCAAUGCUCUCUGAAUUUCUGAGCACUAUUUUCCAAGGAUAGGUUUUCAAUACAACUAUGGUUAAAAGAGUCCACUGUCACAGUGAGACUAACUGUACCAGUUAACCUAACUAAAGACAUUGCCUUCCCUCACAGUCUCUGCCUUGUUCUAUUUAUGACCCUCAUUCUUGUGGCUGAUGGGGAGAAAUGAGUACAUAAAUGGUGCCAGAACAGAGCAAUCAUUUUGCAUUUCACAUAUAUCACACAGCUUUAUUUUUCUUUCACUUUUCAGCUGUUAUCACAGCAUUUAUGAAAGGAAGGAAAUGUGUGGAUGAUUUGUGGAGGAACAGAAUGUGCCCUGAAUAGAUAUGUCGGUUUCCAGUGAUUGGGAGCUGCAAUUGCUGCAUGUGAAGCCAAAUUUAAGCAUUACCACUGCGGUAGGGGUGAGGAGGGCUUUAUACAUUGCCAGGGCAGCUUGAGUUUUGCUUUUUAAGAUGCAGUCGCUGGGGUCUAUGGUUUAUUCAGACUGGAGCGAUGUGAUACAAUAGAUGGAUUGGUGUAGAGAAGGAAAAACAGCAGCACUGGGUAUCUAAAGCACCAGGUUUGUGAUGCCAUUCAGCUGCCAUAUCUCAGCUCAGGGGACACAUCCUUCCACAUGCGUCAGCUUUACUGGCCUCACAGCCAAGCCUGCUCAUGGACUUUGUGGGGACUCUGAUGAUAGUGGUGAAGAAGUGGCUGCAUGACAUAACGUUUGGAUUUUGAGAAGCCUCUUGCUUUCCAAAAUGUUUGAGAAGGGCAAAUUCUUCCUGCCGGGAAGAAAUGAGCAAAUGAUUUGCAGUCAGUGAGGAUUUAUUUGUUUAGUCUCUUCUCCCUUGACUGUAUAUUUUUAUGUGUUCUUUCAUUUUGUUUGUUUUAAACAUCAAACAACAUUCACAGCUUUCUGUUUUUAGUCCCUCUUGGGCUGCUAACAACUCCCUGCAAGUCAGGCUCUGUUACUGAGCCUGUUUGACAAAGCCACACUGCACCAGCUUCCUGCUCUGUGCUCCUAACAUAAACACUUGAGUGCACAAAUCUAAAGCUUCUUGUUCACAAAUAACCAGGCACAGUGCUUUGGCAGCCCCAUUCAUAACCCUCCAUGCCAAAAUAACUGUCCUGUGCCAGCCAACGUCCAGGGGAAACAAAUCCCAGUGUGACAGAGCCUGGUCAAGGGAAGUUAAUUGAAAUGAAUAUUCAGGAGGUGGUUUUUGUCAGCCAGAGGUGAAAGGUUAAUUGAUGACAAUUAGCUUCCAAAAGCAAUGAUUCACAUUGGUUUUGCUGCUGCUUUCUUCCCCCUGUACAACAUUACAUACACCACUUGCUUCCUUAUGCAUGAAAACAGCCACAGUGGUCAAAAUAAAACCCUACAUAAUACUGUAACCCUCCCAGUAAGCUACAGCUGGAGUUCAGAGUGUGCAUAGCAAACAGGGGAGGAACAAGACUGAGCUUUCUUCAGCAUACACAUAUAUUGUGGAUACCUCCAAUGCUAGAAGGUGAACCCAAAUCAUUGUGUGUUUUGCUAUCAACAGAUCUUUUCUCAGUUAAUAUGCUUGUAUCUUUAAAAUCAUUUCUACUUGUGAUCAGAAUGCUGUCCUGUGGCAAUGAAUAUUGCUGUUUGGUUACAGUGCAGUAUUAGUGUAUUUUCUUGUCACUUGUGACUAUGGAAUUGCAGUCCUAUUUGCUGUCUUGUUCAGUUUCCUGCUAAGAGCAGACCAGCUUAGAUCAAGGUGCUCAGGGCUGACAACCUUUGAACAGCACCUGGGAUGAGGAUUGCUUCAAAGAGUUCCCACAGGUAGUGGAGCUACAGAUUCCCUUUGCAGAAACCAUGGCAAUUCCUCUCCUCCAUCCCAUUCACAUCUAAUGGCAUGGACAACAGAAGCACUGGUUUAUAUUUUCUCCCAUCACUUCUUGACUUCUGGGUUUGAAAACGGUGCCACGGAUCCCCUUUGCAGCUCUUCUGGCAUCAAGACCAAUUUAAGAAGCAGGUCUAGGGAACUAAGUCCCAAAACACUUAGUUCAACAUUAUUGUAUUUACAUACAUUGUAAGGUCCAUGUGGUGGCUGGUCGUGGUGAUUUGUUUCUGUUCUUUUCAUUCAUUUGUUCUAAGAGUUUCCCUGCAUCUGAAUCAUGGAAUCAGAACGCUGGAAAGGACCUACAAGAUCAUCUAGUCUAACCAUUCUCCUAUCACCUUUACUACCUGCUAAGCUACUAAACCAUAUCUCAUAGCAUUUCAUCGAAUUAAUAUGAGUGGGUUCUGCUCAGCCCCUGUAUAAAAUAAAUGCUGUAGAAGCCUCCCUGAACUCCUCUACCAUAAACACUGAUGCAAAUUGUUUAUUUGGUUUUCUUCAGCUGUUUCUCCCCUUAAGUGCCCCUUUGGCACCUCAGUCAUCUGCAGGAGCUGGCAGCUCUCCAGUGGGCUGGCAAGCUCAGGCAGAUCAUGGCCAGGAGCACUUUGGAGACAGAACUUCUUUUCUCUUUGCAUCGGAUUGGAUCCUAGCAUGAGGGAUUUCACCCUGGGCUGAGACUUCUGAUGUUACUGUUACAGCCAAUUGCUGUUAUCUCCAUCUAGAUUUUGGAGUUGUUUCUUAAUAAACAAACAAAACAAAUGGACAGACAAAACCAACAGUAAAACUCUCCUUGUCUGAUGCCUUGCAGAUGCUAUACUCAUACACAGCUGCUUUUGGGGGCUGUGUCCAUCUAAGAAGUAUUUCUCAGCAGUGAUUGCAGCAGGGAAAUGGCUGUGGGCUGCCUCACACAGUCCCAGUCCUGCCCUGCAAGCCCCAGAGCUCACAGCCAAGCCCCUUUGGCAGCAGUGACACCGAGCUGCAGCUGCAGAUGUGAUGCCAGAUGCAACAAUGGGACCAUGUGGGAUGCAGGAUGCUUGGUGACAGAUAGGCUGGGAAGAGCUGCUCUUGCCACAGAUGCUGCAGAAAGGUUUUGGGGUCACUGGACCAGCUGUACCUGUCAACACAACUCUGUGAAAGUGACACCAGCACAUUCACAGCUUCAGAGACAACCUCAUAAAUCACUGUGCUCAGCUCAGCAAGUUAUGGGUGUUACUGUAAGUUAUGGGAAGUCUGUUACUGUACAGACUUCCAAUGAGGGAUCUUCUGGAAUUGUAUCAGAGACUGAGUUGGACUCACUAUCAGAGCAGUGCAUCAGGAACAGAAAAUGCUACCCUCCAACAUCAAAUAAACAGCACCUGUUUGUAUUCACA